CAGAAUUUGAUGAGUAAAUGGCAGAUUCUAGAAUCUAGGGCAAAAAGUUUACAAGAUAAGCCUGGAACAUCUUGUCCUACCAGAAAGUCUGGGAUUCUUCAUUUUAAACAAGUUCUGAACAACUGACUUUCCUCUAGAGGAUUUGAACUGUAGGAGGCUUGAAGUUGAACAAUGGAACUCUCAGUACCAACUUCCCUUUACAGUCUGAUCUCAGAAAUCUGACAGCCAGUUGUAUUCCCCCAGACCCUCUACCUUCACCUGUAAGUCUAAGUGGCAGGAAUUUCGCAACUCCAAAAAGUGAUGCCGAAAAAUAUUGGAGCAAUGUCUUCAAAAUCGUAAGAGUAUACACCCAACCAAACUGUUAAUCAAGUAGCAUAAAGGGUAGAAUAAAGAUUUUUCCCUGGCCAGGUGUGGUAGCUCACACCUGUGAUCCCAGAACUUUGGGAGACCAAGGCUGGAAGAUUGCUUGAGCCGAGGAGUUUGGGACCAGCCUGGGCAACAUAGGAAGAUUCUGUCUCCAC
rnacentral:lncRNA from 1 species